UACGAAGGGUGCAAGCGUUACUCGGAAUUACUGGGCGUAAAGCGUGCGUAGGUGGUUUGUUAAGUCUGUUGUGAAAUCCCCGGGCUUAACCUGGGAAUGGCAUUCGGGACUGCAAGGCUGGAGUGCGGCAGAGGAGACUGGAAUUCCUGGUGUAGCAGUGAAAUGCGUAGAUAUCAGGAGGAACACCGAUGGCGAAGGCAGGUCUCUGGGCUGACACUGACGCUCAUGCACGAAAGCGUGGGGAGCAAACAGG
rnacentral:rRNA from 1 species